rnacentral:rRNA from 1 species
CUGGCAAGAGAAUAUGGCGGCUUUAGAAACCGGAAAGUCGUGGACUUCUUCGUCAACUUCGCAGAGGCUUGCUUUACCCGUUACAAAGAUAAAGUGAAGUACUGGAUGACAUUUAA